rnacentral:rRNA from 1 species
CAGGUGCUAAUACCGGAUAACAACAAUAGCUGCAUGGCUAUUGCUUAAAAGGCGGCGAAAGCUGUCGCUAAAGGAUGGACCCGCGGUGCAUUAGCUAGUUGGUAAGGUAAUGGCUUACCAAGGCGACGAUGCAUAGCCGAGUUGAGAGACUGAUCGCCCACAUUGGGACUGAGACACGGCCCAAACUCCUACGGGAGGCAGCAGUAGGGAAUCUUCCACAAUGGGCGAAAGCCUGAUGGAGCAACGCCGCGUGAGUGAAGAAGGUUUUCGGAUCGUAAAGCUCUGUUGUUGGUGAAGAAGGAUAGAGGUAGUAACUGGCCCCUAUUUGACGGUAAUCAACCAGAAAGUCACGGCUAACUACGUGCCAGCAGCCGCGGUAAUACGUAGGUGGCAAGCGUUGUCCGGAUUUAUUGGGCGUAAAGCGAGCGCAGGCGGAAAGAUAAGUCUGAUGUGAAAGCCCCCGGCUUAACCGAGGAAUUGCAUCGGAAACUGUGUUUCUUGAGUGCAGAAGAGGAGAGUGGAACUCCAUGUGUAGCGGUGGAAUGCGUAGAUAUAUGGAAGAACACCAGUGGCGAAGGCGGCUCUCUGGUCUGUAACUGACGCUGAGGCUCGAAAGCAUGGGUAGCGAACAGGAUUAGAUACCCUGGUAGUCCAUGCCGUAAACGAU